rnacentral:rRNA from 1 species
AUACGUAGGGGGCGAGCGUUGUCCGGAAUGAUUGGGCGUAAAGGGCGCGUAGGCGGCCGCUUAAGUCUGGAGUGAAAGUCCUGUUUUCAAGAUGGGAAUUGCUUUGGAUACUGUUGGGCUUGAGUGCAGGAGAGGUAAGUGGAAUUCCCAGUGUAGCGGUGAAAUGCGUAGAGAUUGGGAGGAACACCAGUGGCGAAGGCGACUUACUGGACUGUAACUGACGCUGAGGCGCGAAAGUGUGGGGAGCAAACAGGAUUAGAUACCCUGGUAGUCCACACUGUAAACGAUGAAUGCUAGGUGUAGGGGGUAUCGACCCCUUCUGUGCCGCAGUCAACACAAUAAGCAUUCCGCCUGGGGAGUACGGCCGCAAGGUUGAAACUCAAAUGAAUUGACGGGG